GGCGGACACUUUGGGGAGAAGGGCGGAGAUGAUGGUCAGGAAAGCUGGGGGGCGGGCGCUGUGCCGGCUGAAAACCCAGGUAGAGCGUCUGCCUCCGAACUAGCCAGUACCAGACGGCCUCGACCGAAGCGGCCGGGAGCGCGCGGCGACGGGGAGGCGGAGACUGCGCAGGCGCGGGAGGCGGCGGCCCCGGCGCGCGCGGGUUGGACGCUCGCGGGCUCCGGGCCGGUUGAGAGGGCCUCCCCGCCUGCUGUCUCCGAUCAUUCCAGCUUUGGCCAUUAGGAGCUCUUUCAGACUCCUUUAUGUUUACUCCAUGAAAUCCUCAAGGCUGGCCUUCUUUUCAGCAACCUGUUUGCAGGCGAAGAAGUUGUGGAAGAAGUCGUGCAGAUCGCCGGUCCCAGGAGAGGGGCUUUCCUACAUAAAUGGCAGAGUCGAAGGAUGAAGGUGGCAGUAAUGGAGCAAUCCUUGGAGGAAAAGACACGAUACAGAUUUCACCAAGAGUUCCUCCGCUUUUCAUCCACAUCUUCAAGAAACAGCUCCAGGAAGAAGGGAAACCUUCCACCAACACACAUGGCUAAGGGAUGGAUUUGCAAGCAACCUCGAAGAUCAGCUCUCAUGGGGCUCUGGGACCUUACAGCCCCGGCCCGGGUCUUGGCACGGCCUUCUCUGUAAGGGGAGGUGUGCUGUCCCGUGGUCACUGGCUGCCUGCGAGAGAGCCAGGACUCCAGGCUCAGCAUCGGACCAGCCUCUGACCCCCUCUUGCAAAGGACGGGGGGGUCGAGCUUUGGGCUGGACCUUUGUUUCUUGAGGCAUGUUUGCCCCGUGUGCGAGCCGGUGCCACUGACACUCCCCCAGGAACAGUGGGAGCUGAGCAGGCUGAGGUGGCCACAGGCCGGUGGUACAGUGCAACUCCAUGCCCUUCCUUCUCACCAGGGCUCUAUGGAAAGUUAAGAAAUACAGAAAGGACAAACAAAGUAAAUGAGACACAAGUCACCCACAGCACAGGAAGCUGGGAAUGUGGUGUGUAAUCACUGAGACCACAGGGAUAUUUCCGCUGAGCCCAGGGCAGAAGGACUGUGGGCGAGUGUGGGUGCGGUUGGACAUGCAAGAGCGUCCUUCCCACUCAGACCCCUGCAUGUGCAGACGUGAGGGGAGACAACGAGGGGGCUGGGCGGUGAGGCUGGAGUACGUGGAGAGAACAAAGCACAUAUGUGGAGUGAACGUGUUUCCUGUAGAAAGUCAGUGGUGACUUGAAAAUGGAACAGGGACAGACAGACCUGACCUGAAUGGGACAAGCUCAGAACAAACUCAUCCAGGAAGGCAGAGGCUUCCUGUGAGAUGACUCAGUGUCACUGAGGUUACAGAAACAGUGUGAGAGGGAGAGGCAGCCACUGACUCUGGGCUCUGGUCUGGAUGCUGGGCAAGGACAGGAGAGCAGAUUGAUUCUCCUGGAUUCUAAGGACUCAGGAUGAGUCCAAGCAAAACUGUAUCUGGAUAUUUCUAAACCCACUAUGUGGUCAGACUCCCCCAAACCGGCUGUUUCCUUGCUCUGUGGUCAUCCAGUCCCUGCCUUACCCACACCCACUUGCAUGACUGACCUUCCCUUCUCAUCCUAGAGCCUAAUCAGUGAAAACCUCCCUGCUUGCCCUCUGCCCCCCAGCUAACAAGUGUUCUAAUCUUUAGAUCCAAAAUCAGUGCAGUUGGUGGCUGCAGCCAUGAAAUUAAAAGACACUUGCUCCUUGGAAGAAAAGCUAUGACAAACCUAGACAGCAUAUUAGAAAGCAGAGACAUUACUUUGCUGACAAAGGUCCGUCUAGUCAAGCUGUGGUUUUUCCAGUUGUCAUGUAUGGAUGUGAGAGAUGGACUAUUAAAAAAAAAAACAAAAAACUGAGUGCCAAAGAAUUGAUGCUUUUGAACUGUGGUGUUGGAGAAGAUUCUUGACAGUCCCUUGGACUGCAAGAAGAUCCAAUCAGUCCAUCCUAAGGGAGAUCAGUCCUGGGUGUUCACUGGACGGACUGAUGUUGAAGCUGAAGCUCCAAUACUUUGGCCACCUGAUGCGAAGAACUGACUCAUUGGAAAAGACCCUGAUGCUGGGAACGAUUGAAGGCAGGAGCAGAAGGGGACGACAGAUGAUAAGAUGGUUGGAUGGCAUCACUGACUUGAUGGAUGUGAGUUUGAGCAAGCUGCAGGAAUUGGUGAUGGACAGGGAAGCCUGGCGUGCAGCAGUCCAUGGGGUCACAGAGAGUUGGACAUGACUGAGCAACUGAACUGAACUGAAUCUUUAGAUCUGCACGUCUCCGCCUUGGUAGCUUAUCACAGGGAUAGUUGGGGCUGUGCUCCUCCACUGAUUCCCAACGGAUGAGCUAACCUGACGUCAGUGUCCCCACGACUCCCCCUCCCUCCAGGGGGAAAGCAGUCUUCAUGUCCUGCCCCGUGGCAGUGGGGCGUCACUGCAGGACCUUGCUUCAGACCCUCCAGGUCUGCCUCUGUGUUUGCUGCUCACUCUGGGCUUUCUCUGGUCUUGAAACUGGGCAAGGACAGGUCUUGCAGGCCUGCAGGGGGCAGCCCACCACCUACUAAUAUGAUUCAGAAGCUCAUCUGGAAAGAUGGGUGCAGAGGAGGAACUAUGGCACUUUUAAAAAUAUUUAUUUUUAAACUUUAUUUGGCUAUGCCUGGUCUUAGUUGUGACAUGCAAAAUCUGCUACUAGUUCUCUGACCAGGGAUCGAACUCAGGCUCCCUGGGUUGGGAUUGUGGACCCUUAGCCACUGGACCCACAGGAAAGUCCCAGAACCACAGCGUUUUACCAGAAGAAUGUCAAGGACAGAGUCUUUAUCGAAUAUCACACCAUCAAACGUGCCCAGCAGUGGGCGUCCAAACAGGGAUGAGCUGACUCCGGGGGAUCAGUGGCUCAUGGUCCUGUGGGGGCUCUGGCGCGGACUGCAGGGUGCCGAGGUCAGCGGGGCAGCCCUGCUGCCUCCUGACCUGCUGACCCGGCGGUGUCUAGGUUUGCAGAGAAAGUGUGGGGCUGUGGGGCCUUCCGACCAGCCAUGCGCUGUCACAGCAGCUAGGACACCUCACUGCGGUCCGUGGGUUUGAGAUAGUCACUCAACAGCCUUUGAAGUAAGACGGACUUUUUGGCCCAGCAGUUCUACUUCGGGAGUCUGUCAUCAGAAAUAAAUGAGUGACGCCAAUGGAAA